AACGAACGCUGGCGGCAUGCCUAACACAUGCAAGUCGAACGAGACCUUCGGGUCUAGUGGCGCACGGGUGCGUAACGCGUGGGAACCUGCCCUUAGGUUCGGAAUAACUCCCCGAAAGGGGUGCUAAUACCGGAUAAUGUCUUCGGACCAAAGAUUUAUCGCCUUUGGAUGGGCCCGCGUUGGAUUAGCUAGUUGGUAGGGUAAAAGCCUACCAAGGCGACGAUCCAUAGCUGGUCUGAGAGGAUGAUCAGCCACACUGGGACUGAGACACGGCCCAGACUCCUACGGGAGGCAGCAGUGGGGAAUAUUGGACAAUGGGCGAGAGCCUGAUCCAGCAAUGCCGCGUGAGUGAUGAAGGCCUUAGGGUUGUAAAGCUCUUUUACCCGGGAUGAUAAUGACAGUACCGGGAGAAUAGGCUCCGGCUAACUCCGUG
rnacentral:rRNA from 1 species